rnacentral:rRNA from 1 species
GACGAACGCUGGCGGCGUGCUUAACACAUGCAAGUCGAACGGAAAGGCCCGGCUUUUGUGGGGUGCUCGAGUGGCGAACGGGUGAGUAACACGUGAGUAACCUGCCCUUGACUUUGGGAUAAAUUCAGGAAACUGGGGCUAAUACCGGAUAGGAGCUCUUGCUGCAUGGUGGUGGGUGGAAAGUUUCGGCGGUUGUGGAUGGACUCGCGGCUUAUCAGCUUGUUGGUGGGGUAGUGGAUUACCAAGGCUUUGAGGGGUAGCCGGCCUGAGAGGGUGACCGGCCACAUUGGGCCUGAGAUACGGCCCAGACUCCUACGGGAGGCAGCAGUGGGGAAUAUUGCACACUGGGCGGAAGCCUGAUGCAGCAACGCCGCGUGCGGGAUGACGGCUUUCGGGUUGUAAACCGCUUUCGACUGUGACGAAGAGUGAGUGACGGUAAUGGGUCAAGAAGCAACGGCUAACUACGUG